rnacentral:rRNA from 1 species
AACGAACGCUGGCGGCGUGCCUAACACAUGCAAGUCGAGCGGGAAAGUCCGCAAGGAUGAGUACAGCGGCGCACGGGUGCGUAACACGUGGGUAAUCUGCCCUGAAGCCCGGAAUAACCUCCCGAAAGGGAAGCUAAUGCCGGAUAAGACCACGGGAGCCUCGGCUCCUGCGGGAAAGGGUGGCCUCUGCACGCAAGCUAACACUUCAGGAUGAGCCCGCGGCCCAUCAGCUCGUUGGCGGGGUAACGGCCCACCAAGGCUACGACGGGUAGCUGGUCUGAGAGGACGAUCAGCCACACUGGAACUGAGACACGGUCCAGACUCCUACGGGAGGCAGCAGUGGGGAAUCUUGCGCAAUGGGCGAAAGCCUGACGCAGCAACGCCGCGUGUGUGAUGAAGGUCUUCGGAUCGUAAAGCACUGUCGGGAGGAAAGAACAAGCCUGUGGCUAACAUCCACGGGCCUUGACGGUACCUCCAAAGGAAGCACCGGCUAACUCUGUGCCAGCCGCCGCUGUAAUAC